CUUCCACAACACUCAAAGUGUGGCCUGUGGAGCAACAGCUUCAGCCACAGCUGGGAGCUGGUUAGAAGUGCAACAUCUCAGGCCCCACCCUAGAACAUUAACAUCUCUGGAGAGAAGAAUAUUGAGGAUCAAAGAGACCAAGACUGCAAGCGUAAAAACUAAGAUUGGAACCAAAGCCAGUUCUUCUUGAUCCCAGGGUCUGCGCCCUUCUUCUGUUCCAUGUUUCAUUGUUCUUGGUGGACCUGGGGAUCAAUAGCUAGAAGUUAAAGGACAAACUGAUUUGGGAAGUGCUUCCAGUGCUGUCUUGAGUGAUGUCUAGAGAUUAGCAGACUGGCUGUGAAGUGGUGAGCUGCCCAUCACUGGAACCGUGCAAGCAGAGACUGGUCAUGGUGAUCACGGUGUUGGUCCUGUGUGAGUGUGAUGUGGGGAAGAAUUGAGACCAGAUGACCUUUGAGGGCCUUCUGCUGUCUGAGGCGGGCCUGCUUGGGCCUGCUCCCAGGUCAGUGCCCCAUGGAUGGAGCCUCUGAAGCCAGCUGCUCAUUAUCUGUGGAUCCUCUGCGGGGACACUGCCAGCUCCCAAACAGGAAACAUGUCCAGAAAUCUGUAAUUAGAGCUGGGAGCCACAGGCCUGAGAGGUGCCUGCUGCAG
rnacentral:lncRNA from 10 species